rnacentral:rRNA from 1 species
AGCUCGUAGUUGAAUUUCGGGAUUGACACAUCGGUCGUGCCUUAAGGGGUAUGAACUGGUGUAGUCAAUUUCUCACCUUCUGGAGAACCGCGAUGCCCUUAAUUGGGUGUCGCGGGGAACCAGGACCUUUACUUUGAAAAAAUUAGAGUGUUUAAAGCAGGCAUUUUGCUUGAAUACAUUAGCAUGGAAUAAUAAAAUAGGACGGCAUGAUUCUAUUUUGUUGGUUUCUAGGAUCACCGUAAUGAUUAAUAGGGAUAGUUGGGGGCAUUAGUAUUCAAUUGUCAGAGGUGAAAUUCUUGGAUUUAUUGAAGACUAACUACUGCGAAAGCAUUUGCCAAGGAUGUUUUCAUUAAUCAAGAACGAAAGUUAGGGGAUCGAAGACGAUCAGAUACCGUCGUAGUCUUAACCAUAAACUAUGCCGACUAGGAAUCAGACGAUGUUAAUUUUUUAAUGACUCGU